UACGGAGGGUGCAAACGUUGCUCGGAAUCAUUGGGCGUAAAGCGCACGUAGGCGGUUCGCUAUGUCGGAUGUGAAAGCCCUCGGCUUAACCGAGGAAGUGCAUCCGAAACUGGCGGGCUUGAGUACGGAAGAGGGUCUCGGAAUUCCCGGUGUAGAGGUGAAAUUCGUAGAUAUCGGGAGGAACACCAGUGGCGAAGGCGGAGACCUGGGCCGAUACUGACGCUGAGGUGCGAAAGCGUGGGGAGCAAACAGG
rnacentral:rRNA from 1 species